GACAGAGGGGGCAAGCGUUGCUCGGAAUCACUGGGCGUAAAGGGCGCGUAGGCGGGAUGGCAAGUCGGUCGUGAAAUCCUUCGGCCCAACCGAAGAACGUCGGCCGAUACUGCCGUUCUUGAGGGAUGCAGAGGAGACUGGAAUUCCCGGUGUAGCGGUGAAAUGUGUAGAGAUCGGGAGGAACACCGGUGGCGAAGGCGGCUUCCUGGCCUGUUCUUGACGCUGAGGCGCGAAAGCUAGGGGAGCAAACGGG
rnacentral:rRNA from 1 species